UGGGGAAUUUUGGACAAUGGGCGAAAGCCUGAUCCAGCCAUGCCGCGUGAGUGAAGAAGGCCUUCGGGUUGUAAAGCUCUUUUAGUCGGAAAGAAAGAGUUGCAAUGAAUAAUUGUGAUUUAUGACGGUACCGACAGAAAAAGCACCGGCUAACUACGUGCCAGCAGCCGCGGUAAAACGUAGGGUGCGAGCGUUAAUCGGAAUUACUGGGCGUAAAGGGUGCGCAGGCGGUCUUGCAAGUCAGAUGUGAAAGCCCCGGGCUUAACCUGGGAAUUGCGUUUGAAACUACAAGGCUAGAGUGCAGCAGAGGGGAGUGGAAUUCCAUGUGUAGCAGUGAAAUGCGUAGAGAUGUGGAAGAACACCGAUGGCGAAGGCAGCUCCCUGGGUUGACACUGACGCUCAUGCACGAAAGCGUGGGGAGCAAACA
rnacentral:rRNA from 1 species